rnacentral:lncRNA from 1 species
UAGGGAUUAGUAGGUUUUAUAAAACUUUAUCAUCUGCUGGACCAUUUUAGUUGUACAGAGAGGAAACACGAGUAGUAGUAGUGAAGAAAAAGAGGGAAGGAUCAUUUUAUGCCCAUUCAACAAUCUAUGCAAAAUACUCGAUCGAUCAACUUCAUAAUUUAAUUUCUCUUAUACAUAUAGUAUAGCAUUACCAUGCCUCAAGCUUGCAUCUCAAUGGCGAGCUCGAUCUUUGCAGUAGCUAGCAGUAGUAACUAACGGCACGCACAAAGCAUCGAUGAGCACCAUGCAUGGAUCAUCACAGCGAAGACGUGCUUAGCUUGCGUAACCAGUAUGUAUCGUCGGAGUAGCUAGCCGAUGAAUUAGUAGCUGUAGUUCUUGACGAACAUGCCCUCCUUGGCCUCGGCGGCCUCGCCGUCGGAGGUGUACUUGCCGAGCUGCGCCAGCGAGUUGGCCUUGGCGCGCAGCAGCAGCGCGUCCUGCGCCGCCUUGACGUUCUCCGGCACGCCGCCCCACGUCUUGAGGCAGGUGUUCUGCAGCGCCCGCGCGUAGGAGAAGGACACGUGCCACGGGUUGGGCCCCUGGUUCAUGGCGUUGAGGUUCUGCGUCGCCUCCACCUCCGACUGCCCGCCGGAGAGGAACAUGAUGCCGGGGACGGAGGGCGGGAUGCGGCGGUGGAGGAGCUUCAGGGUGUACUCGGCGACCUGCUCCGGCGUGGCCCGGUCCUUAGCCUCGGCGCCCGGCGUCACCAUGGAUGGCUUGAGCAGGAUGCCCUCGAACAUGACGUUGUUCUCCGCCAUGGCGUAGAAGGUCUCGGCCCACACCUUCUGCGCCACCUCGAAGGUCCGCUCGAUGCCGUGCUCGCCGUCCAGCAGGAUCUCCGGCUCUACGAUCGGCACAAGUCCGUUGUCCUGCUCGGUCGAUUCCAUUCCAUCGGUGUUAGCUUUUAUUAAUUAGCUGGAUGAACUAUCUCCAUGGCUAGAAGCAAGCAAGAAGGCGUACCUGCGAGAUGGCGGCGUAGCGGGCGAGCCCCCAUGCGGCCUCCUUGACGGCGAGCUCGGAUGGCCCGUUGGGGAUGCUGACGACGGUGCGCCACUUGGCGAAUCGGGCGCCCUGCUGGUAGUAGGCGGCCUCGCGGGCGGCGAGGCCGUCGAGGCCCUGGCACCAGGACUCGUCGUUGGAGCCGGCGAGCGGGACGAGGCCCUUGUCGACCUUGAUCCCGGGCACGAUGCCCUGCUCGGUGAGGAUGUCGACGAUCCGGCGGCCGUCGACGGCGGACUGGUAGAGCGUCUCCUCGAAAAGGAUGGCGCCGGAGAUGUAGUUGCCCAGCCCCGGCGCGGUGACCAGCAGCGUCCUGUACGCCUGCCGGUUGGCCUCCGUGUUCUCCAGCCCGAUGGAUGCCAGCCGCUUCCCGCACGUCGCGUUCGACUCGUCCAUGGCCAGGAUGCCGCGCCCAGGCGACGCGAUCGUUUUCUGCAACUCACCAUGUCAUCAUUAUUUCUUUCAGCAAGCAAGAUGGCGAUAGUGACAGUUUCGAUCGGCCACUAGUGAAGAAACGACGAACGCACCGCUGUCUUGACGAGCUCAUCGGCGUAGGCGCUGGCGCGGACGACCACGGAGACGGUGACCGGCCGGGGCGCGGUGAGCUGCCUGGCGGCGCCCCAUUCCGACUUCUUGGGAAGGAAGGAGGACUUGAGCAGGGUAGCAGAGGCCAUCUUCUUCUUCCUCGAUGCUCUUGCUGUCUUCUGAAGUUCAGCUCAGCUCAGGCUGGCAGUGGCCUCAGGUUCACACCAGUGAACAACGAAUGGAGUGUCUCCUUCCUUGGGGUGAGAGCUGCAGCCACAUCACAUAUUUAAGGUUUCUGCCAGGUAAACCAGUGGUGGCUGGACAAGGGAAGGAAGGAUAAAAAGACAUGCGUUGUGAGGCUGAGGUUGCUGCCCUCUGGAUUUCAGUGGAUGGAGUGGCUGCUUCUCACUGGUUCCCAUGGUCUCUUCAAAAGAGUAGGACCAUGCACGGUUAUCACCUCCUUUUUGUUUUGUCCUGAUCCGGAUUCCUGAUUCUAGGGAAGAUCUUUUCUGUGAUUUCCAUCCCAUUUUAACUGUGUGCUGUAAAAAAAUGACAAAAAGUUCAGAGAAAAAGGGACAGCUCAACUCUGGAAUCUUCGUGGCAGCUCAACCAUGGGAUUGCCUGAAUGUUGCUGGCCUCAAAAUUUCAAUAAGGAUCCCAGUUUAUUAUAUAUAUAUCUAUAAAAAAAAAGGAUCCCGGCUUUGGGUGAUGAGGCUGACAGGGAGGUUUCUGUGGGCGCGCCAAACCAGCAACUGUUGCCCGUAGAUGCGCGCCUGCGGUGGACAUCCAUCCAUCGAUUCCCACGGUUUGUCAUCGUGGUUUUCGCAGAACGCCGCGGAUUUCUUGGGGGCUUCUGGUGAUGCCAACGGCUGCAGCUACGAGUUGUUUGUUGCCAUGCGCGGUGUGGAGAGCUCUGCAGGCAAGCAAUGGCGAUCCAGGGGCGUCCGGUCAUGUCGCGCUCCUGCAUAUCAUCUGUCACAACACAUGAGACAUUGAUCCACGUAUACGGAAAUGGACGAACUGUUCUAAUCUGUCGUCUACGGAAAUGGACGAACUGUUCCAAUCUUUCGUAUACGGAAAUGGACGAACUGUUCCAACCUGUCGUAUACGGGAAUAGACGAACUGUACCCAUCUUUCAUUGGUUGUAUUCAAGAAAUUACUGGAUGGAGAUACACAUGAUUCUUUCCUGGACAACCAGAGCAAAUACCUGACAAAUGAUUGUAACCAUCCCUGAUAUUGUAAUGUGAAAAACAGAGAUUUUGAGAAAUCAUCAAUAAGAAAUAGGUUUGUGAUGAGAACAUGUUUACAAAUGGAUUGGUAAUUCAAAUGGACAGAUCUAGAUGCCUACCUUAUAGGACAACGGCAGUGUACACUGGAAACAAAAAUCAGUAAUGGUACAAACCUGAGAAUUAUCAACAACAUUCAUGACAAGACAACAGGACUCCUAAGUAGCAUCAUAGCACCUAAAUUUUGUUACACUUGUACCAUAGUAUGCUCUUUCCACUAACUACUAGUACCACUGCAGAAAUUUAACAGCUUUUUGGUGGGCAUUGGUAAUAGAUCAACUGCUCAAUUGGCAUAUGGGAGCAUCUGGAAAGCAGAAUCCUCUGAUACCAAUUAGCUCUCAGCGGGCUUCAAAAGUUCACCAAGAUCCACAUGCAAGCUGUUCCUCAUGGUCCGCCUUCCUGCUCCACCAGCAUUGCCCUUUCUCAUCAUCGCCACAAACUCGCUAUAAUCAAUUUGUCCAUCCUGAAAAAUGAUGCAUAAUAAUGAGACAAUAGGACAAGUAUGGAGAAGGAUUCAAAGAACAAGAGGGGUUAAGAAGACCAACAUUGUUUUGAUCCACAUCUUUGAUCAUAUCCUCAAGAUGAACAUCAGAAAGACCAAACUGUUGGCAUGCUUGCGAGAGCUCAUCAAUUGUUAUGAAGCCACUCCCAUCCUUGUCAAAGAAUGCAAACGCUGACACCAAGCUUUCCUCCCUCUCCAGUUUAUUCAUGUGCAAUGUAGCUGCCAAGAACUCUCCAUAGUCAAUGGUUCCACUGUUGUCAAUAUCAGCCUGAUAUACAAGACAAACCCAGAUUACAAUCUCAACGGUCCAUACAAUCAAAGGCUGCUACAGUGCAUCUAUUUUAUGUGGACAAUAGACUCGACGCAAUAGUAGUACUUACUGCAUCCAUUAAAGCCUGGAUUUCAGGUUCCAUCAGAUCCGACCCCACCCUUUUCAGACCGUUCUUCAGUUCAUCAUAAGUUAUCGUCCCACUGUUGUCAGUAUCGAUCAUUUUGAACAACUCCUUUAAGCCCCCGAUCUCCUCCUCAGAUAGGCUUUCAGCAAUCACCUGCACGAACAAAAAGAUUCAUCUGAAAAGAUCAAUUUCCAUGGUCAUUGCACAUACCAUCACCUCUUAUUAAACAUUUGCAACCUUAUGCCAUGCCUGUUAUGCAAGAAACCAGUUAAUCUAGAGUUCAAGCAAACAAUAUUGUAAAACCCCAUAGUGAAAAACCGAGCAUUAGUUGUUUUAGAAUUGUGUCAGACACUUAAGCCAAAACAAAGAACCUCUUCUCUUCCAACAAAAAGAAUCUGUUUUGAAACUCCUGGUCCCUUCAUUCCUUGCAUCAGAUGACCACUGACCAUACUGCCCAUGAAACCUCCUUUCCCAAAAUCAAAUGCUUCCUAAUGCCCUUAUCUGAGAACACUUGGUCAAAUCCGGUGUGCCAUUGCUGCUACCAAUGCAACACAGCCCCAGAUCUUAGCAUUUACUGCUUCCUGUCACUAAUAUUGAAAUUGUCCUCCCGAAUCAACAAACAAACAAGGACAACAAGAGGUGAACAUGACCAAGGCAUUGUUGAACUAAGAGGGUGAUGGUAGCGUAGUCACCAAGGUGGGUCAAUGGGUGGAACUAGACAUGAGAUGUUGGCAGUGCAAACCCCACUCAAUCAAGCAAUAGAAGUGCACAGUUGUAAUGUGUAAAACAAUGAGGUCCAGUCGCUAACCAGUUUGCAGCUCACCACCAUACAGAUGCUCACCACCUACAGUCACUCACCUUUCUGACAUCUUACCGUUGCUACCAUUAGUGGCCUCCUGCUGCUAGUGUCAAGCAGUCUUUAGCCAUGGGUUCAAUGGCUUUUGUGGUCGGUAGUCAUAGAAUACCAUGGCUGGCAUCCAGGUCUCGCACUAGUGCAGCUGAAGGGAUUGGAGACAACAGGGUUGGAUCUGGGAGGACUGUUCUUUUGGAAAGAAACAGGUUCUGUGAAUUGUAUGAAAGGUGACAUGUAGGCCAGCUUUUUUGUUUAUUGGGACUGUGUGAGUGUGUGACAUCGAUGGUUGGUGUGGCAGAACUGCCAUUAAAAAGAACAGGUGGCUAAAUGACUGGUUUCAAAAGCUUUGGUUUUUAAGCAGAUGUGUGUAAAUUGGGCUUUCUAAAAAUUAAAGGGGACAAAUACAGAUUUAAAGUGCACAAAAAAUCCAGUUAACAUGGAAAACCAGGAGAAAGAGAAAGGAAAAGAUUCAUAUGAAGUUAACUUGAGUGCACAACACAGUAGGCAGUAAGGCAGUGUCAUAAUAGAAAUGACGCACUGACCGUAACAUUGCGGUACUGAAUUUCGUUUGCAACAUAAUCACACAUCAAUGGGAUAAAAGUUCUUAUUUGAGAAAAAUGAAGUUCUUCUUACCCUCAAUGCCAUCUUCUUAAGCUUGUUCAUUGCAGAAAAGUUUUUCAGCCUUGACAAAACAGCAGAAUCAAUAGGCUUAUCAGGUGCGACAGCAUCAUCAACAAUCCAUGGAUGACCUGGCAUAGUCAAUGUCACCAUGUUUAAUAAGAACGAACUUCCAUGACCCAGGAGCACAAGCAUGCAUACAGAAUCUCAGACAGAGAGAGGGAGGGCAUGUAGGCAGAAAACUUACAUAGAACCUCAUGAGCAGUCAAUCUCUUCGUAGGAUCCCGGAUAAGCAUCUUACGGACUAGAUCUUUAGCACUAUCAGAGAUACUUGGCCAUGGUUCAGAUUCCAAGUCAAGUUUGCCUCGCAAAAUCUGCCUGAAGAUUCCAGCUUCACUUUCUGAAAGGAGGGGGAAACAGGAAGAUUUUACAUAUGGAAACAUGCUAAUAUCAGUAAACGACAAUCAAUCUCAACGUAGAAAUUCAAUGGUUGGAAUAACAAACAAUUUACCUGCCCAGAAUGGGGGUACACCACAUAGCAAAAUAUACAGAAUAACUCCAGCACUCCAGACAUCAGCUUCUGGGCCAUAGCAUUUCUGGAGCACCUCAGGGGCAACAUAAUAGGGGCUACCAACAACGUCAGCAAAUUUGUCACCUGGAGAUAUAGCAAGGAAUAUCUUUCAGUGUGUGUUCUGUUAAUCACUUCAAGCAAAACAGAAUAAACCACAGCAUUAACUGAAGACUUCAUUAAACACUACUUUAACCACAACACCACAUUUGUCACAAAAUCUGUUACAGUUCUACGAGAGAAGACAGUUCUUGCCAUCAACCUUGAAAGGCUUAUUGGCCUAUUGCUAUUGACAAGUAUUCUAGUUGCAACGCAGAUUUAUUUGUCCCCAGUACUAAUAUAUACUAGUUCUCAUGUUAGCAACAUUUUGACAGGGAUUCUUUAUAUUCUAACAAAAUGAGCCACAUAUGGAAAUGAAAUGUUAACAUGCUUGCUGGUGUAUCAAAACUAUCUAUGAAGAGCAGUACUCCCUACCAAACCCAAUGCUAGCAGUUAGCGCGCAUACCAUUGCCGCAUCAAGUGAACCAAAUAGCAACAUUGUACAGCACAAAUAUUAAACGUCAGCACAAACAAUUGCACAGAUACGCACCGGGCUUGUAGAACACCGAUAGCCCAAAAUCAGUGGCCUUGAGCGGGGCAUCCUCUGCAGUGCUCGCGAAGAGGAAGUUCUCCGGCUUGAGGUCCCGGUGCAUGACGCCGAGCGAGUGGCAUCCCUCCACCACCCCGACGAUCGUCCUGAUGAGCUGCGCGGCGGCGCGCUCGCUGUAGUGUCCCUUGGCGACGAUGCGGUCGAAGAGCUCGCCGCCGGCGCAGAGCUCCAUGACGAGAUGCACGAAGAGCGCGUCCUCGUAGGCGCCGCGGAUGCGGACGACGUUGGGGUGCUCGGAAAGGUGGUGCAUGAUCUGGAUCUCGCGCCACACGUCCUCGUAGUCCUCGCGGCACAGCAGUUUGCGCUUGGGGAUGGAUUUGCAGGCGUACUCGGCGCCGUCCGCCUUGCCCACGCACUGGUACGUGGUGCCGAACUGCCCCUGCCCCAGCUUCUUCCCGAUGCGGUAGUGGUCGCGCACGUUGUCCGUCUUGUGCGGCAGCACCGACGCCGGCCGCCCCGCCGACCCCGUCGUCACCGGCGGCGGCAGCCGGGCGUGCGCAUUGGCGCCGCCCGCCUUUCCCCUGCCCGGGCCUUGCGGGUCCGGCUGCAUUUCCUUUCGCCGGCGGUGAUUCCUCCCCGGAUCAAGAACCGUAACCGUACGGACGGCCUGCCCUUCCUGGAAAAAACCGCGGCGAGGCUCGACGAAUUCGCACCGUCGACCAAUCAGAAAUGGAAACCUUUUCCAAUUCCGGCUACUAUUCUGGGAGCUUUCCGGGGAAAUCUACACGGAUUGGAACCGAAUAACUCGAAGGAUUGGAUCUUGGCGUGGGGGGCUCUCGCCUUUGGGGAUUCCUGGGGAAAUGGCCGACGAAUUGGGCGCGACAGAGGAGCUUUAGCGGAGGUUUAUGCGGCCGCGCAGGCCGAAGAACAGAGGAGAAACGCCAACAGGAAGGCGAAGAUGAGGAGCAACGGGAUUGCUCUGUUCUUCUCUCCCCUCUGGGAUUGAUGGAUUGGUUCCUGCGGGGGAUUUAAGGAGAGGUCACAUGCCAAGGUUGGAUUUUUCCUCCAUGUGAGGGUGGAAAUCUACACGGCUAGGUUUGGUGAUUGCUCGGGCCUUGGAUUGGGUCUACAAAUGGGAACGGAUCGCUAGGGCAUGUGGGGGAGCAUGUCGGUGGUUAUCGCCUUCGCCUCCCUUCGCGAGGAGAGAGCGCAGAGGGGGGAGGGGGGAGGAGAGAGGAGGAAGACAACGUGGUCGGAAACUACCCCUUUCCAUUACUUUUCUAUUUCUUUUAUUUAUUUAUCUAAUAGUUUAUCACUACAUUGUUGGAGCUUCUGUUUAAUAUACUAAAAUUUUUGUAUCAUCUUUUUAUACAAAUAUACUGAAGUUAUCUGAAAACUUGAAGGUCUAUUUAGGGCACCCUUAUUAUCAAAUUAAUCGUGGCACGUCGUCAGGAUUCGAAAUUAUUUCCAUAAUUUGUUUUCAGUUGGUAAGAUGCUACGUUAGCACAAUUAUCCAAUCCUACGAGGUGCCAAUAAUGGGAAAACUCAUCUACAACUAGUUCAUCAAUUAUGAUAGGCGUCGAUCACCAAAUUCCCAGCUUAUCCAAUUUGAGGCUGUGGGACUAUUGCUAUGCAGGACUGUAGGAGUAUGGCAAGAAACUCUCCAACCUCUCAAUGAGGCCUCCGUUCAAUUAGACUGAGAGCUCAUAUCUCACCGGGCCCUAUCAUGAUUGUUGAAGGCAAUGGCAUGCUAGUGCUACAAUACAAUAUGCACAUUUCUUCUAAUGAGUUGCCACUCUUUGGCACAUGUCCUUGUACAUUUUCACCGAUCAGACAUUGCAAUGUUUUCUUUCGUGAAAGUGGCUAGGUGUUAAAAAUAGUAAUCUUGUUGGGCCUGUUGAUUAAUUAAAACUUAUUUGACAAUGAAAGCCAACCUGCGCAAAGACGAAAAUGAAGCCCAUUUGCCAUGGCACUGGUAAGUCCUGACCUAUCUCGAAAGAUCAUUUCCGUGGGGGGUACCGUACUAUAGUGGUAUGGAACUACCACUUUUGCAGACGCAUAUCCUAAUGAUUCCUUUUAAAAUUUUGCAGAGAUGCAUGA